rnacentral:tRNA from 1 species
ACCUGGCUGGCUCAGCUGGUAGAGCACGAGACUCUUGAUCUCGGGGUUGUGAGUUCAAGCCCCACACUGGGUG